rnacentral:misc_RNA from 1 species
GCAAACUUGGUCAUUUAGAGGAAGUAAAAGUCGUAACAAGGUAACCGUAGGUGAACCUGCGGUUGGAUCAUUAAUUAAUUCUUAGUCUCUGGAUGUGUUUUUUUUAAUCUCCUCCAUGAUGACUAUUUAACACCUGUGCACUUUAUGUAUCUUGGGUAUCUUCUUACAUUUGAUGCCCAAAAAUUGAUAAAAACCCCUAUUGAUUUAUGUCUGAAAAAAAAAAAAGUAUAUUUAAACAACUUUUGACAACGGAUCUCUAGGCUCUCGCAUCGAUGAAGAACGCAGC